CCCGCACAAGUGGUGGAGCAUGUGGUUUAAUUCGAAGAUACACGAGAACCUUACCUGGCCUUGACAUGGUAGGAACCCUUAAGAGAUUAGGGGUGCUAGCUUGCUAGAACCUACACACAGGUGCUGCACGGCUGUCGUCAGCUCGUGUCGUGAGAUGUUGGGUUAAGUCCCGCAACGAGCGCAACCCUCGUCGUUAGUUGCUAACAGUUUGGCUGAGCACUCUAACGAGACUGCCUUCGUAAGGAGGAGGAAGGUGAGGACGACGUCAAGUCAUCAUGGCCCUUACGGCCAGGGCUACACACGUGCUACAAUGGGGCGUACAAAGAGCUGCAAUACCGCGAGGUGGAGCCAAUCUCUUAAAGCGUCUCUCAGUUCGGAUUGUUCUCUGCAACUCGAGAACAUGAAGCUGGAAUCACUAGUAAUCGUAGAUCAGCUAUGCUACGGUGAAUACGUUCCCGGGUCUU
rnacentral:rRNA from 1 species